CGGAUCAGGGCGCCGCUCUCUGAGUGCUGCGCGUGCUGUGGGAGAGUAAAAAUGGGCCUCCACUGCAGAUAUUCUGAAAACGGCUUUACAGGGUGGACUGAAGAUGGGACAUAGCUGCUCGUUUCCCCGAAUGCAGGGAAGUUACUUGAUUUGAUGCCAUUGCAGCAUGGUGCUGUAAGGGAAGCUGAAGUCCUGGAUGAGGUGAGG